UACGUAGGGUGCGAGCGUUAAUCGGAAUUACUGGGCGUAAAGCGUGCGCAGGCGGGCUUUUAAGCCAGACGUGAAAUCCCCGGGCUUAACCUGGGAAUGGCGUUUGGGACUGGGAGUCUGGAGUGCGGCAGAGGAGACUGGAAUUCCUGGUGUAGCAGUGAAAUGCGUAGAUAUCAGGAGGAACACCGGUGGCGAAGGCGGCCCCCUGGUUGGAUACUGACGCUGAGACGCGAAAGCGUGGGGAGCAAACAGG
rnacentral:rRNA from 1 species